rnacentral:rRNA from 1 species
AGAGUUUGCUUCUGGCUCAGAACGAACGCUGGCAGCGUGGAUUAGGCAUGCAAGUCGAACGGGAUCCAGAGAGGUAGCAAUACUGAUCUGGUGAGAGUGGCGGAAGGGCGAGGAAGGCAUGGACAACCUGUCUUCAGGGUGGGGAUAACCCCGCGAAAGCGGGGCUAAUACCGAAUGUGGCGUAUGGGGCGCAUGCUCUAUGCGUUAAAGGUGGGGAUCGCAAGACCUGCCCCCUGAUGAGGGGUCCGUGUGCCAUCAGCUUGUUGGUGGGGUAACGGCCUACCAAGGCAUACGGCUAGCUGGUCUGAGAGGAUGAUCAGCCGCACUGGGACUGAGACACUGCCCAGACUCCUACGGGGGGCUGCAGUCGAGGAUCAUUCGCAAUGGGGGGAACCCUGACGAUGCGACGCUGCGUGGAGGAUGACGGCCUUCGGGUUGUAAACUCCUGUCAUGGGGGAAGAGCUAUGGGGGGUUAAUAGCCUCUCUGAUGGACGGUACCCCAAGAGGAAGCCACGGCUAACUCUGUGCCAGCAGCCACGGUAAUACGUAGGGGGCAAGCGUUGUCCGGAAUGAUUGGGCGUAAAGGGCGCGUAGGCGGCCAACUAAGUCUGGAGUGAAAGUCCUGCUUUUAAGGUGGGAAUUGCUUUGGAAACUGGAUGGCUUGAGUGUAGGAGAGGUUAGUGGAAUUCCCGGUGUAGCGGUGAAAUGCGUAGAGAUCGGGAGGAACACCAGUGGCGAAGGCGACUAACUGGACUAUGACUGACGCUGAGGCGCGAAAGUGUGGGGAGCAAACAGGAUUAGAUACCCUGGUAGUCCACACUGUAAACGAUGAAUGCUAGGUGUAGGGGGUAUCGACCCCUUCUGUGCCGGAGUAAACACAAUAAGCAUUCCGCCUGGGGAGUACGGCCGCAAGGUUGAAACUCAAAGAAAUUGACGGGGGGCCGCACAAGCAGCGGAGCAUGUGGUUUAAUUUGAAGCAACGCGAAGAACCUUACCAGGUCUUGACAUCCAGUAAAAUCUGUAGAGAUACAGUGUGCCUUCGGGCGUACUGAGACAGGUGGUGCAUGGUUGUCGUCAGCUCGUGUCGUGAGAUGUUGGGUUAAGUCCCGCAACGAGCGCAACCCUUGUGAUCAGUUACUAACGGGUAAUGCCGAGGACUCUGAUAAGACUGCCGGGGACAACUCGGAGGAAGGUGGGGGGGACGUCAAAUCAUCAUGCCCCUUAUGACCUGGGGUACACACGUGCUACAAUGGCCACUACACAGAGAAGAGAAUUCGAGAGGAAGAGCGGAUCUCAAAAAAGAGGUCCCAGUUCGGAUUGUGGGGUGCAACCCGCCCACACGAAGUCGGAGUUGCUAGUAGUCGCGGAUCAGCAUGCCGCGGUGAAUAAGUUCCCGGGCCUUGUACUCACCGCCCGUCA